UGGCCAAACUACCCUAUGGACGGAGAUAACCUCGGGAAACUGAGGCUAAUAUCCGAUACAGCUCGCAUGCUUGAGUGCAGCGAGCUGGAAACGUUCCGGCGCCAUAGGAUGUGGCUGCGGCCGAUUAGGUAGACGGUGGGGUAACGGCCCACCGUGCCGAUAAUCGGUACGGGUUGUGAGAGCAAGAGCCCGGAGACGGAAUCUGAGACAAGAUUCCGGGCCCUACGGGGCGCAGCAGGCGCGAAACCUUUACACUGCACGACAGUGCGAUAGGGGGACUCCGAGUGCGAGGGCAUACAGUCCUCGCUUUUCUGUUCCGUAAGGUGGUACAGGAACAAGUGCUGGGCUAGACCGGUGCCAGCCGCCGCGGUAAUACCGGCAGCACGAGUGAUGGCCGAUUUUAUUGGGCCUAAAGCGUCCGUAGCCGGCCGAGCAAGUCCGUUGGGAAAUCCACGCGCUCAACGCGUGGGCGUCCAGCGGAAACUGUUCGGCUUGGGGCCAGAGGACUCGAGGGGUACGUCCGGGGUAGGAGUGAAAUCCCGUAAUCCUGGACGGACCACCGGUGGCGAAAGCGCCUCGAGAAGAUGGACCCGACGGUGAGGGACGAAAGCUUGGUGCUCGAACCGGAUUAGAUACCCGGGUAGUCCAAGCUGUAAACGAUGCUCGCUAGGUGUGCCACAGGCUACGAGCCUGUGCUGUGCCGUAGGGAGCCGAGAAGCGAGCCGCCUGGGAAGUACGUCUGCAAGGAUGAAACUUAAAGGAAUUGGCGGGGGAGCACUACA
rnacentral:rRNA from 1 species